rnacentral:rRNA from 1 species
UCGUGGUGCCGAAAAAUGGCGACGCGAAAGAGAAAUCGAGUAGGGCCCUGGGGAGAGUACACGCGCAAGCGAGAAAUUUAAAGGAAAUUGACGGAAGAACACCACAAGGAGUGGAGUGUGCGGCUUAAUUUGACUCAACGCGGGACAACUUACCGGGCCCGACGACCGUAAGAGUGUGACACACGAUAGGUCGAAGAGUGGUGCAUGGCCGUUAACGACGAGUGGAGUGAUCUUUGGGUUAAGUCCGUAAAUUAGUGAGACCUCAGCCGUAAGGGACAGGUGCGCAAAGCACAGGAAGGAUGGGUCAAGGACAGGUCAGUGAUGCCCUUAGAUGGUCCGGGCUGCACGCGCACUACAGUGGUCGCCGAAAUUAGCUGAUAAUUUUAAAGGCGAUCGAGAGGGAAUGAGCUUUGUAAGAGGCUCAGGAACGAGGAAUUGCUAGUAAUCGCGGACUCAUUAAGACGCGAUGAAUACGUCCCUGUUCUUUGUACACACCGCCCGUCGUUAUCGAAGAUGAAGACAGGCGCGAACGAUCUACCAGAAAGUGAGCGCAGGUCUUUAGAUCUGAUACAAGUCGUAACAAGGUAGCUGUAGGUGAACCUGUAGCUGG